ensembl:snRNA U6 U6 spliceosomal RNA
GUGCUCACUUCAGGAAUAUAGAUACUAAGACUGGAAUGACACAGAGAAGAUCAGCAUGGCACCUGUGUAAGGAUAAACAUAAACACGUGACGCAUCCCCCAUAUGU